AUAGCGUGACAUAUUGUUACAGAGAAGAAAAUUUGUUCAACACUGGAGACAAGAGUUCUACGAUUUUUGUCAAGCAGAGAGGGAGAACUUGAUGAUCACACAGUCCUGCUCAAGCCAAGUCCUGUGCACUGUAUGGACCUUUGGAUGUUCUUACUUUCAACAAUGCAAGGAUGUCACAGCA